UAGCUAGUUGGUGAGGUAAAGGCUUACCAAGGCGACGAUCUGUAGCGGGUCUGAGAGGAUGAUCCGCCACACUGGAACUGAGACACGGUCCAGACUCCUACGGGAGGCAGCAGUGGGGAAUUUUGGACAAUGGGGGCAACCCUGAUCCAGCCAUGCCGCGUGAGUGAAGAAGGCCUUCGGGUUGUAAAGCUCUUUCGGCCGGGAAGAAAUCGCAUGGGCCAAUACCCUGUGUGGAUGACGGUACCGGAAUAAGAAGCACCGGCUAACUACGUGCCAGCAGCCGCGGUAAUACGUAGGGUGCGAGCGUUAAUCGGAAUUACUGGGCGUAAAGCGUGCGCAGGCGGUUUUGUAAGACAGGCGUGAAAUCCCCGGGCUUAACCUGGGAACUGCGUUUGUGACUGCAAGGCUAGAGUACGGCAGAGGGGGGUGGAAUUCCACGUGUAGCAGUGAAAUGCGUAGAGAUGUGGAGGAACACCAAUGGCGAAGGCAGCCCCCUGGGUCGAUACUGACGCUCAUGCACGAAAGCGUGGGUAGCAAACAGGAUUAGAUACCCUGGUAGUCCACGCCCUAAACUAUGUCAACUAGGUGUUGGGUGGGUAAAACCAUUUAGUACCGUAGCUAACGCGUGAAGUUGACCGCCUGGGGAGUACGGCCGCAAGGUUAAAACUCAAAGGAAUUGACGGGGACCCGCACAAGCGGUGGAUGAUGUGGAUUAAUUCGAUGCAACGCGAAAAACCUUACCUACCCUUGACAUGCCAGGAACUUGCCAGAGAUGGCUUGGUGCCCGAAAGGGAGCCUGGACACAGGUCUGCAUGGCUGUCGUCAGCUCGUGUCGUGAGAUGUUGGGUUAAGUCCCGCAACGAGCGCAACCCUUGUCGUUAAUUGCCAUCAUUUAGUUGGGCACUUUAACGAGACUGCCGGUGACAAACCGGAGGAAGGUGGGGAUGACGUCAAGUCCUCAUGGCCCUUAUGGGUAGGGCUUCACACGUCAUACAAUGGUCGGUACAAAGGGUUGCCAAGCCGCGAGGCGGAGCCAACCCCAGAAAGCCGAUCGUAGUCCGGAUUGCAGGCUGCAACUCGCCUGCAUGAAGUCGGAAUCGCUAGUAAUCGUGGAUCAGCAUGUCACGGUGAAUACGUUCCCGGGUCUUGUACACACCGCCCGUCACACCAUGGGAGCGGGUUCCGCCAGAAGUAGGUAGCCUAACCGCAAGGGGGGCGCUUACCACGGCGGGGUUCGUGACUGGGGUGAAGUCGGAACGAGGUAGCCGUAGGGGAACCUGCGGCUG
rnacentral:rRNA from 1 species